rnacentral:rRNA from 4 species
ACCUUACCAGGUCUUGACAUCCUUUGACCACUCUAGAGAUAGAGCUUUCCCUUCGGGGACAAAGUGACAGGUGGUGCAUGGUUGUCGUCAGCUCGUGUCGUGAGAUGUUGGGUUAAGUCCCGCAACGAGCGCAACCCUUAUUGUUAGUUGCCAUCAUUUAGUUGGGCACUCUAGCGAGACUGCCGGUGACAAACCGGAGGAAGGUGGGGAUGACGUCAAAUCAUCAUGCCCCUUAUGACCUGGGCUACACACGUGCUACAAUGGGAAGUACAACGAGUCGCUAGACCGCGAGGUCAUGCAAAUCUCUUAAAGCUUCUCUCAGUUCGGAUUGCAGGCUGCAACUCGCCUGCAUGAAGCCGGAAUCGCUAGUAAUCGCGUCAGCACG